rnacentral:lncRNA from 1 species
AAUAGGGAGAGGCAGGUAAAAGGGGACGAACUUUCAGCUCUGAGAUCAAGAAGGUCUGAGGAACUCAUGUCUGACGUGGUGACUAGAGUCAAGAACACUGAAUUCUGUAAUUGAGAUCAGCUAAGAGAGCAGCACUUCAGUGUCCUCACACACACACAGACAAUAAGUGAGGUGAAAACAACAAUCAGAGUUGAGGACAGAGGAGAAUCAGGGUAUGAAUCCCUGGGAACUAGAUCAAAUUCCUGGGAGAACUUCAGACUUUCAAAGGCCAUGAGAUACCUGGUUUCAAACCAAGAAUCUAGGAGACGCAAGGAAUCGGGUGACGUGUGGCUUCCAAUUGGAACGACUAGAAAACUAGCAAAGGUCUAGAAGGCCCAGGAGGGUGGAGGGAGGCAGUUGUAGGCCAGUUGGUGGGGGAGGGCCUGUGGUUCAAUGUGCUUCCCUGCUGUCCCUUCCCCCCCUCAGGAUCCCUUGUGACAAGGCCACAGUUCCAUGAUGAGGGCGUGGGGUUCUAAUCUCCAAGUCACUCCCAGUGCUCAGUUGCCUGAGAGUAGAACUGUAUUUGAGAUAUGGAAACUCCUAUCUUAUAUCUAAAAAGCGUUGUUGCUACCUGGUUGAGCUCCAGUUCCGCUUCCUGGGUGAUUGGGACCAUCAUCCCCAACCUGUGUGGACUGGGGCUCUUCCUUCUGUUCCUUCCCUCCCUCCAGAGGAAUUUGCCCUUACAACCACCUUACAAAGGGAGAAAGUUCAGGAAGUGUCAAGAGGAGCCGAGAGGGAGGAGCAGCAGGAGCAGGAAGAAAAGGGGAGCUUUGAAAGCUUACAGAGCUGGCUGGAAGGACCUGGCAGAAUUGGGGGGCCUGAUGUCCCUUUCACAAAGGUAAGGAAUCUUGCCCUUCUUUCCUGGGCUUCUUCCUCCCAGUGUCUCUGAUGUGCCCCAGGGCUACAGGCAGCUUGGGGCUGAGCUGGGAGGUGAGCCAUGGGGCAGAGGGUGGCAAGAGGCCUGGGGUGAGGGACAGCAGGAGAAUUCGGUGAAGUGA